rnacentral:rRNA from 1 species
GGGGGGGGCUAGCGUUGUUCGGAAUUACUGGGCGUAAAGGGCGCGUAGGCGGCCUACUAAGUCGGACGUGAAAUCCCUCGGCUCAACCGAGGAACUGCGUCCGAUACUGGCAGGCUCGAAUCCGGGAGAGGGAUGUGGAAUUCCAGGUGUAGCGGUGAAAUGCGUAGAUAUCUGGAGGAACACCGGUGGCGAAGGCGGCAUCCUGGACCGGCAUUGACGCUGAGGCGCGAAAGCUAGGGGAGCAAACGGGAUUAGAUACCCCGGUAGUCCUAGCCCUAAACGAUGAGUGCUUGGUGUGGCGGGUAUCGAUCCCUGCCGUGCCGAAGCUAACGCAUUAAGCACUCCGCCUGGGGAGUACGGUCGCAAGGCUGAA